rnacentral:lncRNA from 1 species
AAUUAAAAAAUAAAAUGGAAAAUAAAAAUCAGAAUUAAAAAAAGGAAAAAGCGUGAGCCCUUAGAUCUGAGCUAAUUAAUUGAGCUGGCAGAUCCAAGCAUCCACAAGCGCGCGCCCAACGUGUUCCAAAGUCAAUGCAACCACACGUUGUUUAAUAAAAAGUCAUAACAAUGAGAGGUCUAGAUCUAAUCUGGAAAUGAACAUGGACGACCAUGAUUGGAUCUGGAGACCAGACGGUGGC